rnacentral:tRNA from 1 species
AAGAUUUUAAGUUAAAAUAAAAACUAUUAACCUUCAAAGUUAAAUAUAUAAUAAUAAAUUAUAAGCCUUA